UACGUAGGUGGCGAGCGUUAUCCGGAAUUACUGGGCGUAAAGCGCACGCAGGUGGCUCUUUAAGUUUGGCGUGAAAGCUCCUGGCUUAACUGGGAGAGGUCGUUGAAGACUGAAGAGCUUGAGGCGAUGAGAGGGGUGUAGAAUUCCCGGUGUAGUGGUGGAAUGCGUAGAUAUCGGGAGGAAUACCAGUGGCGAAAGCGACACCCUGGCAUUGGCCUGACACUCAUGUGCGAAAGCGUGGGGAGCGAACGGGAUUAGAUACCCCGGUAGUCCACGCUGUAAACGAUGAACACUAGGUGUAGGUGGUGUGAAAGCUAUCUGUGCCGAAGCCAACGCGUUAAGUGUUCCGCCUGGGGAGUACGGCCGCAAGGCUAAA
rnacentral:rRNA from 1 species